rnacentral:lncRNA from 1 species
AGACACUAUUCCAGAUGCUGGGUGAACACACUCAACAAAAGAGCUCUCAGAGGACUGGGAUGGGGCUCAACCAAUUCAGAACUAUCACCUGCUCACUCACCCUCCAGAAAUCAUCGAUGCAGGUAUGGUGUUCAAUUCACUUGUGCUGCCUCUCCCUCAAAUUCUGGUUUAUAACAGUGACUUAAUAAAUGUCUGUGAAAUGUAGAUAUCAAUGCAUUCAAUGCAAGAGAAGAGGUAAGUCAUUCUAAAAGAAAAUAUUUUUAAAAAAUGGUUUAGGGAGUUAAAGAGAUUAGAAAAAAGGGAAUUCAAAUUAUGAGACAAAAGAAACAACCAAUAUUUUUUAAGUAUAUAUUGAAUUGAAAAAUAAAGGGUGAAGCUGUGAAAGAGAGGAUCUAGAAAGAUUAAAAGAUGAUAUAAUUUGGUUUCAAAGAGGAUACGAAAUGUUAUAGAGGAACUGAAAAAGCAGUAGAAGACUGGACACUGAGAAGAGAUACAUAGAAAAACAGGAAAUAAAUGGCUAUGUUCCUUCUUGCUUGCUUGCUUUUGUUUUGGCAGAGGAUAAAAGAGCUUUCCAAAACUUUAAAAAAUCUAUUACUGCCUAAUGAGACCCAUACUUAACUCCAAUUUACUCUCAGGGCAGUUAGCCCACCACCCCCAACUCUGCCAGCAGAACUCCACUGAGUAAUGGGACUGUCACAGGACAAUCCCACAGCUCCCCACUGCUCCUUUCUUGUUUUUCUAAAGGAAGAUUAUCUAAGAUUAUAGCUAAUUUAUGACUACUUACACCUCUCUUGCUACAGGUACUGACACUAAUGGAUCUUAGCUGCACUUGGCUGAGAAAUAAAUCGGUUCUAUAGAUCGGCAAUAAACACAGCUACAGCAGGGAACGCAGCUUCAGCAGUCCACCUAUGCCUGCGAGAAGAAAGGGAUGGGCUAGACGGGGAAUGGGAAUUUGACUGCAGAUUCAUGUGUGUAUGAUGUGUGAUUUGGAUGGAUGGCUAAACUGAGUUUUUUCUCUUUCCACACGCCAACGCCAGAUACCUGGUUGCAGGCCUCUGGCUGCAGGAACCAUAUGUGCUGCUGGAUGGGGUAGUGCAGCACAGGGACGUGGGAAGACCCACUGUCCCCAGAGGCCUUCCCGACCAGAGUGCAGAGCGCCUGUGUCUCCACAUGACUCAGCAAUGACUGUGGCCUGAGAAUGCCUGGCUGCACAGAAACAUCAAUCUGGGAUUUAAAAAUAAACAGGCUGGGUGCAGUGGCUCAUGCCUGUAAUCCCAGCACUUUGGGAGGCCAAGGCAGGUGGAUCACCUGAGGUCGGGAGUUCCAGACCAGCCUGACCAACAUGGAGAAACUCCAUCUCUACUAAAAAUACAAAAAUUAGCCGGGCAUAGUGGUGCAUGCCUGUAAUCCCAGAUACUCGGGAGGCUGAGGGCAGGAGAAACGCUUGAACGUGGGAGGCAAAGGUUGAGGUGAGCUGAGAUUGCACCAUUGCAUUCCAGCCUGGGCAACAAGAAUGAAACUCCGUCUCAAAAAUAACGGUAAUAAUAAUAAUAAUAAACAAAUAAACCAUUCAUACUGUAGUCCAGAUAUUCUUUCCAAUCAGCCCUGCUACAAGAUCUUGUGUUGGAAGCAAUUUUCAAGCUUUUCCUCAUGGAAGGAAAAAAGGACUUACUUAUAUUUUUAGCCUCUAAACAGUCACUUUGCACUUGAAACCUGUAAACUUAUUUGCUAUACUUUAUUUUUGAAUAUUUUGAUGGCUGUCUCUGCCAUAGCCACUCAACUGUGGUCUUCACACGUCUGUCAUAAAUGAACCCAUAUAUACAUUAGGUCUGAUACAAAACCAAAAUAUGUUAUUAAGGGUUUGGGCAGAUAUAUAAAAAGUUGAACACAUUUUAGUUUACUGCUGUUCUUAAAGUGAUUACCAACUGCGGACCAUUCUUGUACUUAUGAAAUAAAAUAUAAGCAUGCCUGCUAACAAUUCCAAUUUUAGUACCUUAGCUAGAAAUGGGUUUUGAAUCAGUUCUAAUGUUUAUAUUCAUGUUACAAUUAUGACCAAAUUAUACUAUUACUUUUAAAGAUUUUGGAACUGUUGUUUAAAUUUCUGGUUUGCUAUUUAGGUAUGUUAAAAAUGCAAAUUGUUUACAUAGUUCAAAUCCCUAAUCUAAGGCCACAGGAAAUAUAAUACCUCAAAAACAAAAAACUAAACCAACAAAACUUAUGAGAUCCAUCCAUUAAUCCUUCUGCUUGUUUAACAAAUACUAAGAAUCAGGCAUUGUUAGACAUUUAAGGAGAUAAGCCAU